ensembl:snoRNA
CAGCAAUGAUGAAAAGGUUUUACUACUGACUUCUAUAAUUAUGAGUGUUUUUACACUUGAUCGCAGCUCA